ACACUAAGUGUAUAACUAUUCUUUAUUUAAUUAUAUUUUGAGACAUUACUUUUAAGUCCGCCUUAUAAGAAAUAUUAUAUGUCUUAACCGAAAUAAAAUUUUAUUGUAACUCGCCUUAAUUCUCACUCAUUUGCUGCACUUUGAUUUGUAUUUAAUUUUUAUUAAAAAUUUGAGCCUACCUAUAGGUAGGCUCAAUGACAACGGUAUACAAGCUUUAUAUAAGUAAGUAGGGUAUUCUUGGUGGUUGUCAAUUAUAUGGUAAGUUCCCCUAAAUGUUGCACUUAGCCGCCAUAAUAUUUAAGUUUGGGCCUGAUGGCAUUAAUUCUUGCCUUAAUUGUGUUAAUCUCCGUAUAGCUGGGUCUCUAAUCCAGGUUUAAUUUUUCUGGAGGUAAAAAUUUUAUAAUAUUAAUAGAUAUAAAAAUCACUAGUAUUUCACCACGUAGUGAUUAUUAACAUAAAAUAGUUGAUUUAAGACAACUAAUUGUAAAUUUACCUAUUAGGUUUGACCGCGGUUGCUGGCACCUAAUAAACCUAGGUUACAUAGUUAUCUAAAUUUAAAUUUCUUUAAUAGUAUAAAAUUUUUAACUGGAGCUUAUAUUUAUAUUCCAUAUUAAGUUAGACUAUAAAAUUACAAAUUUAUCACAUUAAAGUAAUAUAACCUAUGAGGGGGGCUACCCAUUUUAGG
rnacentral:rRNA from 1 species